AUAUUUUCAUGAAUAUUUUCAUGAAUAUUUUUUUAUUCUUUUUUUGAAUAUCUUUUCUUUCACCAACAAUUAGCCCACAGGUUCCCUGUGAAGAUCACUCCUUUUGUUUUCCUCGCAAUAUUGUAGAAAGCAAGAUACGUGGCAAACACAGGUUUCCUUCCCCCCUUAUAACAUAUAAUCGUUGUAAUGAAUCCUCCCUUUGAAUAUUUCUUGAAUAUUUCCAUGAAUAUCUUCAUGAAUAUUUUCGUGAAUAUUUUCGUGAAUAUUUUCGUGAAUAUUUUGAUGAAUAUUUUUUGAUUAUUUUUUGAUUAUUUUUUGAUUAUUUUUUGGAAUAUCUUUUCUUUCACCAACCAUUAGCCCACAGGUUCCCUAUGAAGAUCACUCCUUUUGUUUUCCUCGCAAUAUUGUGGAAAGCAAGAUACGUGGCAAACACAGGUUUUCUUCUCCCCUUAUCGCAUAUAAUCUUUGUAAUGAAUCCUCCCUUUGAAUAUUUCUUGAAUAUUUCCAUGAAUAUCUUCAUGAAUAUUUUCGUGAAUAUUUUCAUGAAUAUUUUCAUGAAUAUUUUCAUGAAUAUUUUCAUGAAUAUUUCAUGAAUAUUUUUUUAUUCUUUUUUUGAAUAUCUUUUCUUUCACCAACAAUUAGCCCACAGGUUUCCUAUGAAGAUCACUCCUUUUGUUUUUCCUCGCAAUAUUGUAGAAAGCAAGAUACGUGGCAAAAACAGGUUUCCUUCUCCCCUUAUCACAUAUAAUCUUUGUAAUGAAUCCUCCCUUUGAAUAUUUCUUGAAUAUUUCCAUGAAUAUCUUCAUGAAUAUUUUCAUGAAUAUUUUCGUGAAUAUUUUCAUGAAUAUUUCGUGAAUAUUUUCAUGAAUAUUUUGAUGAAUAUUUUUUGAUUAUUUUUUUUGAUUAUUUUUUUGAUUGAUUUUUUGAAUAUCUUUUCUUUCACCAACCAUUAGCCCACUGGUUCCCUAUGAAGAUCACUCCUUUUGUUUUCCUCGCAAUAUUGUAGAAAGCAAGAUACGUGGCAAACACAGGUUUCCUUCCCCCCUUAUCACAUAU
ensembl:lncRNA